UCCCUGAUGGCUCAGACGGUAAAGCGUCUGCCUACAAUGCAGGAGAGCCAGGUUCGAUCUCUGGGUCAGGAAG
rnacentral:tRNA from 1 species